rnacentral:tmRNA from 1 species
GGGGGCGAAUGGUAUCGACCGGGCAAUGGAUUUAUCGGUUGCGUUCCGAGGUUGUCAGGUGGCCUCGUAAAAAACCUGGCGAACAAUUCAUCUGCCAACGCAGAUUACAGAAUGGCAGCGUAAAGCCGCCCGCGCUCUUCUUUCAGCCUGCGGGUUGAAGAGCGCGUAACCAUAGCAGGCUGGCGUCCAAUUUUCUGGUGAGGUGGAGAGGACGUAAGACAUUAGCCUGACCUGCGCCGACCGCGCUUGUUCAUCAGCUACCGCAAGGCAAAGAACCAUCGAUGAACUAUGAACGUAGAAGCCGCUACUGAAAUGUCACGGGACGCGGGUUCGAUUCCCGCCGCCUCCACCA